rnacentral:lncRNA from 1 species
UUAUAUUUAUUUAUUAAUUAUUUGACUUCCGUAAAACCGUCCACUCGUAACGAGGUAGCAAAUUUUCUUCCCGGAAGUUUCAACAAAACUCACCUUUAGCCUAAUUUGAAUAUUCCGGACACUUUUCGUGUUUUGACUUUUUCGAUCCGGAGUACGGUUUUUCCCGAAGUCGGUCCGGCGGAGUUUUUCGGGUAUUUUAAUUGUUGAUAAUUAUCCAGUUUGUCUCGAUAUACGUGAAUGCUAGAUAUUUUGAUUAUUAUAUUCAUUCUUAUCUUGUAAUAAUUGCAAUGGGACCCGCAUACUAAUGACUGAUUAAAAAGCCCCGUUUUGAUGAUUAUCUUGAAAACCAGUACCGAUUGGACCCCGCUUUAUUAUAUAAAGCUAGUAAAUAUCGUAUUUUCAUGUCAUAAACGAUCCAAAGGGGUACCAAUUAUUUGUAAAUAUAAAUAGACCUUUCUAGAGCUUAUUUUCAACCGUAAAUCAUUUUCACCAGUUUCUGUUCACGAAUACCGAGAGAAACCGAGCUGCGUUCUUCGUGUUCUUCGUAAUCAAACAAGGUUUUGAAGGUGUUAUUGGAAUCCGAUGGAGGCGUAUGAAUAGUCAAAACGAAGCUAUCGACGCGUAGAAUCUAGUACAAUCAUCCGUUUAUGUGCAGAUUGGUCAGGUGAUUUUAUAUUGAUUUUUCAAAAUUCGAAUUUAUAUGAUUUAAAUGAUGAAUUUUUGUAAACGUGAUUGUUUAAUUGUUUUGAUGAGUCCAUGAUGUAGAGCAUGUUUUUCUCGUCGUUUUGGUAUAUUAUAUGUUGAAUUUGGGGUUCGGAAUCAUAUAGAAACAGUGGUUUAAUUCUUGAGUAGGUGUUCUUGAGUGUUCUUCGUGGGUUAUGAAUAUUUUCAAUUGAGAUUUGGGCGUUUCUUAUCUGUUAAUCACAUGAGCAAUCGGUUGAUAUGGUUGGAUAGAGCGUGAAGAGAGGAACUUGUGGGUAUGUUCAAAAGUUAUGUGGGAUUCCCGGAAAGGGGUCACCGGAGUUUCGAAAGAAACUCGCCGGCGGGUUUUUUUGCUUCGAUUUUCCGGCCAUUCUUUGCGACGAUUGGUGAUUCUGAUUAUGGGUAUGGGUUUCUGGUAGUAUGAACUUCAAAUCUGGAGUUUAUGGGGUGUGUAUGACGUCGGAAAAUCGAUUUCCGGCGAGUUAGUGUGGUGGCCGGCGGCUUAUUGCUGUUUGGUCACCGAAGGUUUGAAGAUGAUGAAGUUUUUGUACUCAGGUUCUGAAACUUAUGAAUUACCCCCUGUAACUUUGAAAAGUUGCACUUUAAACCCUGGACAAAACUUUCAAAAGUUUACAAAAUAAACCUUUUGAUUUAAUUUUCAAAAAUUGUUUUAUUUAAUUAUUUUGAUUUUCAAAAAUAAUUUUUAAUUAUUUCUUUAUUUAAAAAUAAAUCUAAUUUGAUUUAUUAAUUAAUUUUAAUUAGUAAUUAAUUAUUUUAAUUGGUCAAUUAAUUUAAAUAUUAAUUGAUUAAUUAUUUUAAUUAAUUAUUAAUUGAUUUUAAUUGAUUAAUUAAUUGGAUUUAAUUAUCCUUUUUGAUUUAAAAAUUCCGAAAAAUAGUUUCGAGCUUUAAAAUAUUUUUCCAAAUUAUUUUCAAGGCUCGAUAAUUGUUUAUGAAUGAUUUCAAGUCCAAUUUCAAGUAUUUGGGACUUGAUUAUUUAUUCGAAAAGUGAUUCUUUUAUCGAUUUUAAUUCCGAAAAAUGUUUAAAAAUUCCAGAAAAUUCCCGAAAAAUCAUUUUUAACCCAAGACUUGAUUUAAUAUCAAUUGGGAUGGGAAACCUUAUGUGUUGUGUGUUGUCUGCUAUUGGUUGGAUGUGUUAUGUGCCGAUAGGAGAGUGAGAAAACUGUUUUGAGCAUAACUUUUGAUCCGUAAGUCGGAAUCAAGUGAAACGAAAGAGAGACGGAAGCUUAUAACGUCUAUUUUAAUAUGAUGUGACUAUAUGGCUGAGUCUAUAAGGUGAAUAAUUGUUGAUAAGUAUGCAUAAUGUGAUAAUAUGUGAUCUAAGUGCUAUCAAGUGAUGAUUAUGUGAAGUACGUGUUAGUUUUGAUAUUGUGAAGUGAUAAAUGAUUCGUAUGAUUGAUAUUGGAUAAGAAUAUAUGGAUUAUAGUUAUUGGAUUUUGUUGGUUGAUUAAUGAUUGAGAUAGGAUAACAGGUGGAUAGUCUUAUACAUAGACGAGACGAUGUCGGAUUUUCGAUAAGGAUUUAUAUGAUAAUUGAUUGGUGAUAUGUUAUGUGGAAUAUGAUUGACUAUAUGUUAGAGUCAAAGCAUGCUUAUGUGUUACGUGGUAUCUGAUAAGUUUAAAGGGGUAUAUAAGUGGGUAUCGAUAUACGUGAUAUGUAUAUGCGAUAUAUUGUUUAGUGACUAUAGUAUUAUCUUAUUCUCGUAAAGGAUUUGGACGAGACGUGUACGCUCGAAGACGUCAGAAAGUCGGAAUGGUAUUGCAAAGCGAAUAAGGGAUGAAUCGAGUAAGCGAAGCGAUGUGGCGAAUAGAGUAUAGCUAGAGAUGGUCUAGAGAUUACGAGAUGCAUAGAUUGUGAAAGUUGAAAGAUGAGAUUGAGCUGUGAGACUGGAGUCAGAUUUAAG